rnacentral:rRNA from 1 species
UGGGGAAUUUUGCACAAUGGGGGAAACCCUGAUGCAGCGACGCCGCGUGAUUUAGAAGGCCUUCGGGUUGUAAAAAUCUUUUUUACGGGAUGAAAAUGACAGUACCGUAAGAAUAAGGUCCGGCUAAAUACGUGCCAGCAGCCGCGGUAAUACGUAUGGACCGAGCGUUGUCCGGAAUCAUUGGGCGUAAAGGGUACGUAGGCGGCCUAGUAAGUUAGAAGUGAAAUAAUAUAGCUCAACUAUAUAAAGCUUUUAAAACUGCUAGGCUUGAGAGAUGGAAGGGAAAGUGGAAUUCCUAGUGUAGCGGUGAAAUGCGUAGAUAUUAGGAAGAAUACCGGUGGCGAAGGCGACUUUCUGGUCAUCAUCUGACGCUGAGGUACGAAAGCGUGGGUAGCAAACAGG